UACGGGGGGGGCAAGCGUUGUUCGGAAUUACUGGGCGUAAAGGGCUCGUAGGCGGCCAACUAAGUCAGACGUGAAAUCCCUCGGCUUAACCGGGGAACUUCCUCUGAUACUGGACGGCUUGAGUUCGGGAGAGGGAUGCGGAAUUCCAGGUGUAGCGGUGAAAUGCGUAGAUAUCUGGAGGAACACCGGUGGCGAAGGCGGCAUCCUGGACCGACACUGACGCUGAGGAGCGAAAGCCAGGGGAGCAAACGGG
rnacentral:rRNA from 1 species